GACGAACGCUGGCGGCGUGCUUAACACAUGCAAGUCGAACGGAAAGGCCCUGCUUUUGUGGGGUGCUCGAGUGGCGAACGGGUGAGUAACACGUGAGUAACCUGCCCUUGACUUUGGGAUAACUUCAGGAAACUGGGGCUAAUACCGGAUAGGAGCUCCUGCUGCAUGGUGGGGGUUGGAAAGUUUCGGCGGUUGGGGAUGGACUCGCGGCUUAUCAGCUUGUUGGUGGGGUAGUGGCUUACCAAGGCUUUGACGGGUAGCCGGCCUGAGAGGGUCACCGGCAACAUUGGGACUGAGAUACGGCCCAGACUCCUACGGGGGGCAGCAGUGGGGAAUAUUGCACAAUGGGCGGAAGCCUGAUGCAGAAACGCCGCGUGCGGGAUGACGGCCUUCGGGUUGUAAACCGCUUUCGCCUGUGACGAAGCGUGAGUGACGGUAAUGGGUAAAGAAGCACCGGCUAACUACGUG
rnacentral:rRNA from 1 species